rnacentral:rRNA from 1 species
UACGUAGGUGGCAAGCGUUAUCCGGAAUUAUUGGGCGUAAAGAGCUCGUAGGCGGUCUGUUGCGUCCGCUGUGAAAACUCGGGGCUUAACCCCGAGCCUGCAGUGGAUACGGGCAGACUAGAGGUAGGUAGGGGAGAAUGGAAUUCCCGGUGUAGCGGUGAAAUGCGCAGAUAUCGGGAGGAGCACCGGUGGCGAAGGCGGUUCUCUGGGCCUUACCUGACGCUGAGGAGCGAAAGCGUGGGGAGCGAACAGG